rnacentral:misc_RNA from 1 species
GUUCAGGGACAGUUAUCAAAAUUUGUCCCAGUUACAACACUUCCUUAUUUAUACAAUAUAUUCUCCUGUGCAUUCUCACAACUCCUAUUCUCCUUAUUAUCACAACAAAAUGUUGCAACACAUUGCUGUUUCAUUAUAUAAUACCAUUAUGUUAAAACCCUAGUGAAAAGCCUCACUAAUGCAGUAUUGGAAGAAGACUCAA